rnacentral:lncRNA from 1 species
CACCCUUAGGUGGCAAUACACCCCUUGACACCCACACAAAAAUCUGACAUGUGGCCAUAUGGACCCCGCACAAGUACACUUUCUCUUUCUUCUUCUCUUCUCUCUUCCUAAUACAUGGGGUGUACAAGUAGGGUUGGGAAUAGGCCAGGCCGGCCUAUAGGGGCCUAUGGCCUGGCCUGUUUAAGCCUGGCCUGGCCUGGCCUGUUUAUUAAAAAGGCUAGGCUUAGGCUUUUUAAAAAGCCUAUUUAAGUAAAUAGGCCAGGCUUAGGCUAUCAAAAAAGCCUAUGAAGCCUAAUAGGCCGGCCUGUUUAUGCAUGUUAGGCUUUAUAGUGGACUUUUUAAAUAGGCUUUAAAGCAUUAUAGUGAAAUAGGCUUUUAAGGCCUUAUAGUGAUAGACAAGUCUUACACUCAAAUAGGCUUUGAGGCCUAUUAAACCUAUUUAAAAGUAGAUAAAAUGGAAUGUUUAGUGAGGCCUAUUAAACCUAUUUAAAAGUAGGCCUGUAAAUAGGCUUUCAGGCCAGGCCAGGCUUUUAAAUAGGCCAGGCCAGGCCAAAAAAAUAGGCCUAUGAAAG